AGGGCUUUCAGGCCUCCCCCAAGUCCACCUGCUCUGCCAGCAUUUGUGGAGUGUUCUACGCUGAGGUAGGAUUCCCACCAGAAAAAACAAGUUCCUUUCCUCUUUGUUAAGGGUCCUCUUCCCGCUGCCCUGGGAGCUCUGAGCAUCCUCAGAACAGCCCCUGGGACUUCCCAGGAAGUCUUCUCCCUGGGACCCCAGGGCCAAGGUUAGAUUAGAGUCGCAGGACGUUGCGGGCUUCACCGGGGGACACAGUCCAUUCUGUUAGGAAUCAGGGUGGACCCAAAUGGGCCCGGGCCCCACACAACUUACCCAGAGCACCCACACCGCCGGCGCCCUGAGCAGCGUGGUCGAGUGUGAGUAGCUCUCUUGGACGCGAAAAGCCACCGUUAGGCGAAGAUUUGAGCCUUGACUCCAGGAAAUCCUGUCCUUUUGUUCCAAGCUCAGCCAGAAAGAGGAGCCUGGGCCACAGAGUCAAGCGUCUAUGGAGACCAGGGGUCCCUGGUUCACCUCUACCCAGGCUUUUGAGACAUUUUGCAGUGCUGCUCUAGAUUCUCCUACCAAAGAGGGAAAUAUGGAGGACAGAAGAAUUUACUACAGUAUACCCAGGGCCACACGUGUGGCAUAGCAGUCAAAUCAGAGCCACGGCAAUGUGAGAUCCAAGCCGCGUCUGUGACCUAUACCACAGCUCACAGCAACACCGGAUCCUUAACCCACUGAGCGAGGGCGGGUAUGAAACCCAGAACCUCAUGGUUCCUAGUUGGAUUCAUUUCCACUGUGCCACAAAGGGAACUCCCACUUCUGCAUUUUAUAGAGGAGGAGCUGCGCUGCCAAGGAGCUACGGAGUAACUAAACCCAGGUGGCCUGUUAUGGACAAACCUGGCCCUAGAACCCAGGCAACAGGCCCUUUCCACACCUUUGGAGGAAGAGAGAAGAAAGGCUCCAAUCUGGAGAGGUCUACAGGUACUAGGGGCUGUUUGUUCAACCUCCUGGAUAGGAAUAAGUCUUUACAGAGAAAUGCGGCUACAACAGGGCUGAGGAAAGAAUGGAAAAGAGAGAAACACAAAAUGGACUUGGAAAAAGACAGCAGCGAGAAUCACUGUGGCCCAAACCAUUUGCAUCCCAAGGACACCAACAUUCUAGGAAGGGGAUUUCAUGGUGCUACACUGUAAGGUAUUUCUAGGAGUAUUCUCAGCAUCUAAACCAACAACACUCUGAGAUAAAUGUAAAUAAGUAUUAGUUUUGGUAAUGCUAGAUUCUCAAGACUGUUUUUUGGAAACUUGUCCUGAAGAAAUAGUCUCUUAGUAUUUUAUGCUGGUGUAAAGAAGGGCAUGAAAAAGGAUAAACACAGGAGAACGAGACCUAAGAUUCAUACAGGGGUUUUGCACAAGGAAAAAAUUUAAUUAAGAAAAAGGAGUUGAAUCUGCAAUUCUGAAACAAUUAGUGUGAUGUGAAAUCCACUUAGCAAACUGCAGGUUUCAUCUUAAUAUUGGAAAAGAAAACACUAAAUUUCAUUAUUAUAGUAAGGGGAUUUUUGGUUUUGAUGUCUGCAGACACAACAUAUGGAAGUUCCCAGCCAGGGACUGAAUCCAAGCUGUAGCUGCAACCUCAGUCACAGCUGUGGCAAUGCUGGAUUCUUUAACCCACCGCACUAGUCCGGGGAUCAAACCCUCACCUGGAAGGUGACCCAAGCUACGGCAGUCGGGUUCUUAACCCACUGUGCCACAGUGGGAACUCCUAAGGGGAGGGCUUUUUUUUUUUUAAUACUCUAAGUUUCUAUGUAACGUUUUGUUUUGUUUUGUUUACUGUAUCUUGUACUCUAGAAAUUGUGAGAAACUUGAAUCCAGAGUGCUUACAUAUC
rnacentral:lncRNA from 1 species